UUCUAUUUCUUUCUCUUUUCUUCUUCUUCUUCUUCUUCUUCUUCUUCUUCUUCUCUUUUCCCUUCUUCUCCUGUUCUUCUUUGUCUGGCGAUUCUGAGAGCUUUGAAUGAUGAAAUUAUGUUACGAGAUUAGGUUAUGAGAUCACAGAUUAGUUGUUGUGAUGGUGAGGUUAUCAGUAGUUGAUUCAGAUUCGAGAGAAGGGGGUGAGUUGGAGAAAGAAACUAGGGUUUAUGAGUAAUGAUUUCAGUUGAGAAUUUGAGUUGUGUUGAGGAUGAAGUUACGCAAUUAGUGAUGAGUAUUAUGAGUUGAUAUCAAGGAAGAAGAUUAACAGUUGAUUUUCAGUUCUCGGAGAAGAAUUAGAAAGUUAGGGUUUCUAUAAUUGAUCGACAAUUCGAUUAAAGGUGAUUAAGGAGAAGUAAGAAGAUGGGUUUGUUUUUAAUUGGUGUUUGAUGAAAGUUGUGGAGUUGUUCUGAAGAUUGAUUAAGAAAUUGCAGAAUUAGGGUUCCUGAUGUUCUUCCCCAAAUUGAAUUAGGGUUUGAGUAGAUAUGAUAGUGAUUUGGAGCAUCAAAUAGAUGAAGUACGAAGGGGUAGUCGGUGGAUUGAUGCUGUGAAGUUGUUUAAAGAAGAAAUUGAAGAUUUAAAUAAUCAGAAACUAGGGUUCUUAGCAGAUUUGGGAAUUAGGGUUCCUGUUUGUAAUUUUAGUUAUGAACUCAAUUUGAAGAAGAUGAAUUCAGUGGUAAGGUUCAAACAAGAGGCGGAUAUAUGAGAUUAUUGUUAUUGUUAUCUCAGUUGUAGUUGUUGAAGGUUGAUCGUGCAGGACAAGAAUGGAGCCUUGAGCAUUACAGAAUAUUGCAUUGGUGAAUGUUGAGAUGAUGGUUGUUGGGCUGAGGUGUAGAGGUAAUUGAGAUGAAGAUAUGUUUGUCUGAGUUGAGAGGAUGAGCAUAAUAUGAAAUGGAUAACUUGAAUUGUAGGUGAAAGUGUGUUAAAAUCUUUUUGUGGUGAAAGAAGUAUGGAAAGAAUGUGAACUGAUAUUGCAGGUGUUGUGAACUGGAUUGGUUGAUAUGGGUAUGGGUUUGGAAGUGAACUGGUGGUGUUAAUGGGUAAACUGUGGAUAGGAAGUUAAAUCUGAAUUGGAGUCUGGUGCUAUUGUUGUUGUAUAUAAUGGUGGAAGUUGUUUGGGAGUGAGCCAGUUGGUGGGCGUAGCUUGGAAUUGCACCACAGUUGGUAGUAAUGAACUGACAUGGGGGUGGUGUUAAUCUGGUGGAGAGGUUUAUGCUGUAUUGUGAGUCUUGGUGGUGAUGUUGUAAUGGUGGCAGUUUUAGUUAUGACAUUGUAGCUGAGCUGUAGGAUAUGGUUUUGGCAGUGUUGUUGAUAGAAAUGACUGUGUUGAUUAGAGUUCAGCUGAAGUAUUCUACAAAGUGGCUGCAAUUGAUGAAUUGUGUAUGUAGGAAGAGUAUGGCUUGGUACUGCAAUGGUAGGUAAUGCUUAAAUUACAAUUGUAUAAUGAAUUAUGGGAUUCUGUUGAAUAAAUGUAUUGUUGAAGUGUAGAUGAGAAGAGGAAUCUGAAUUAGUAUGUUGAAAUGAAUCUCCUCGGUGGAAGCUUGCAACUGCGUUUGCAGGUAAAGCUAAGUUUGUAGUUGAAUUUAAAUCAUGAAGUUUAGUUGAAAUGUAUAUGUCGGUUUGUAGUGAGGAUUAUGGGAAUGUAAAGAUGUAAGAAGCUUUGGUUUGUUCUUUGGCUCAGUCCUGAAA